UACGGGGGGGGCAAGCGUUGUUCGGAAUUACUGGGCGUAAAGGGCGCGUAGGCGGCCUGCUAAGUCGGACGUGAAAUCCCUCGGCUCAACCGAGGAACUGCGUCCGAUACUGGUGGGCUUGAAUCCGGGAGAGGGAUGUGGAAUUCCAGGUGUAGCGGUGAAAUGCGUAGAUAUUGGGAGGAACACCAGUGGCGAAGGCGGUCCCCUGGGCCGGAACUGACGCUGAGGCGCGAAAGCGUGGGUAGCAAACGGG
rnacentral:rRNA from 1 species